AUGUCGCCGUCCAAAGCGUCGCAACCUGCAAAACCUUCUUCCACAAAGAAACCUGUGGCGCCUGUUUGGUUCAAGGACCGCAACAGGCUUCCCCUUGGUCAAACCCCGCCUGCCUCUCCAGCAAGCAGACCAGCACACAGCAGCACACCUCAGGGUAAAGGUAGAAGUAAACCAAUGCAGGCCGUCCCGCCUUUCACCGCGGCAAAGAAAACGGGGGUUUUAAAUACUACCAAACAUGCCGGAGAAGCCCAGAGAGCAGCCGGACGGGCAGCUGUGACUGCAGCCGCUGUGCUAGCAGCAACGCAAUCGGAGGCCACGGAGCUCCUCCCACAGGCAUCACCCCUCGCUGCCCCCGCACCACAGGACGACCGGCCCCCAGCGUUGGCCCAGGGUCCCUCCCCAGAGGCGGUACCUCAGGAGCCCGCUCAGGGACAGGGUGCAUCUUCCUCUCCUCCUCGAAGCCCCGCCAGGACGACGUCGCCACAGACCUCUCCUCCUUCCCUGGAGCAGCUAGAGAGCAACGCCCACUCGCCAACGACGCGGGAGGAGACCCCUGUCCCAGUUGAGCCGACGCCAGCGCCAGUGGCCUGCCCUCCGUCGCUAUCUGCGGAGGCCGUUCACCUAAACCAAACUCCCUCCACAUCCGUGGCAGCAGCAAAUGCCAUCCCUGUGCUGGUUCCUCACUCCAAUCUAAAUGAGGAGGACGAUGAAGAGGAGAGGGAAGGCAGCCAGCUGGUGUCCGUGUCCGAGAUGAGCGGAACCACGCAGCCCACAGAGGAUUCUCGCCCCGAUUCUGCGGGUCCAGUCGGGGGGGUCCCACUGGAGGGCAGGUGGUGCCCUGCUCUCCGAGCUGGACUCCGAGGAUGUAAGCGGCAGCCAGCAGGGCGCGUCGGAGCUGAGUGCCCCCCGGUGUCCUGGAGGGCACGGAGAGCAUGGACGACCUGGGAGACGGCAGCCUCAAAGGAGCCAUCGACAUGGAGGGGGCCUCUGCAGGCUCACCGGACUUUGAGAAGGUCCCAGACAUACCGGCGAACGACUUCGACGAGGACGACGAGGAAGACGACCGGGUGUGCGACAUGGACGUGGGCUCAGAGCGGGCAGACAAACCUCAGAGACUCAGGCAUGACAACAACGUAG
ensembl:lncRNA